UGUGUUGGAUUCAUGGUUUAAUGUUCCCAUCUUCCCUAUGUCACAAGAAUUUGGUGUAUGCUAGAUGAUUGAAACAGGUGAUAUUUAUGGUUAAUUUAAUGUUCCCGUCUUUCCUAUGUCUUAAGAAUCUGGUGUCAGCAUGAUUGAAACUGGUGAUAUUGUUUAUUUCUUGCAACUUAUCAAUGGUUCAGCAACUUCCCUUUUUUUCAAAAAAUGUUCUUUUCAGAAGUCUUAAAUACUUUAAUUAUCACUUAUUUUGUAGUGAAGAUAAUUAUCAUUUUGGACAAGCACAUGAUGCAUGAUGUUCCGUACUAGUUAUAAAAAGUAAAAUCUAUGAGGACAAUAAUGCAUAUUAAUCACCAGAAUUAUUACUUUGUAAGUUAAAGUUUAAAUUAGGUGGAGUAUGAGAUCAAGAAAUGCAGAUAAACUUAUGGAUUAUUGUACUAUAAUUUUCAGUAUUGUAUUUUGUGUUGAAUCAUAUGGUGGCCUCAAGUUAUUCUUGAUGCUUUUCUCUAUCUCUACUAUAUGGAUGUUAUGCAAUUUUUUCAUACUGUGGAAGGAAAAAUUGUAUUGCAUCAUGCUAUGCUUUAACUUGCAUCACAAUGUAUAUUCAAUUAGAAGUACAUCAAGAUUUGCUAUACCGGUGUGUAUCGUUGUGUAUCGGAUGUAAUGUACCGUACCGUUACCGAACUGAGGCUCGAUAUGGGGGGCGUAUUGAGUCUUGGUAUACUGAACCGAUCCUCGUACCGGGCAUACCGACAUUGUACCAGCAUGGCAACUGGUACGACACUGGUACCAAAAUGGCGAACCUUUAAGUGCAUUGUUUUGCCUGAUCACAACUAAUGGCCCAAACAUUCAAAUGCAUCAUUUAACCUCUUAAUUAUGUUGUACAUCAUUUAUCAAUUCUGAUUCAAUUUAAAUGCGAGUUAGUAGCAAAUGUUUGAAUGAUUCAAUUUAAGGUAAUGCUCAUGGACGGUGGGAUUGGAUUUUUGGGAUGGCAACAUUGGGAGCUUGUGAUGUCGGAUAUCACUAUCAUUCCUAAAGCUUGUAAUAGUGAAAGCAUGAUUUAUGGUUUUCCCUCGAGGGAUAUCAUCGAAGCUUUGGGGUGACAACCAAAAUUUAACUCUAUCAUCUACAGGAUGAACCUAUGCUCUAGUCAACUGCCAUCACUCCAAUAUUAAUAUAAUUGAGAAAUUUAUUGGUAGGAGAUAUAAAAGUUAGUCUUGAAGUUCUAGAGGCUUAGGACAAGAUGAUAAAUGUUUUUUUAGUUACCACUGAUUAUGAAUUUAUGGCUGGUUGAUGUUAAAUGCGGAAUCACCUGGUUAGCAUAGGGACACUUAUGCUGAUAGUUAUUGUUAUUCUCUCUUACUUCUGUUUGAACCUCAGCAUUUGGAAUGUUGUACUUAGAAUCUUGUAGUCCUAAUGUGAGCUUGUGGUGCAUAACUUAACUACUGCUUAUCCUUUAGUUUGUCAUGGAUCCAUGACAUCUAGUGCGGACUUCAUUUUUAUUUAGUCGUAUUAUAUUUAGUCAUGUUAUUAGUUCUUGUGGUUAUUUUAUUGUAUCAGGAGUACUGUAACUUGUUAUUAGCUGCCUCAAGAGUUCUAUUGCUUGUUUUAGUUAUUUGUGUUAUAUGUAAGGCAAAGAGCAGAUUAGUAAUUUGCAUGUUGAUGUGUUGCACUGAAGUUGAUACUGGUCAUUUAUUUCUACUACUAUAUUAGCCUUAUGGACAUAAUUUGGGUAUGUAUAGGCCUGUUAGAGUUCUGUCAAGAAUCUUAAUUAACAACUAAUAUCAGUCAUUUCCAAGCUUUUACCGAAGCGAGAUUUUAUUGAUGACUGAAAAAAAUUGAGAUUCUAAAUUUUAUUUUUGCUAGCUAUUAAUUGCCUCCAGUGAUGUUUAAAAUCUCAAGUGUACCUGGGUUUUCUAGCCUAAAACCAGUGCCUGGCAACCCUUGGGACAAUUUCUUAGGUUAGCCAGUCUGGACCAUCCUGAACUACGAUGAACCAGCUCGUACCAGCCCCCAAUCUACUCACUUAGUGCCAAGCUUAAAGGUAUUUUCACACCCUCUUUUUUCCUCUCUGGUACUAACUGGUACCCUGUCUUGUAACUGAUAUGCGUACUGGCUGGUGUGCAGUACAGGACGUAUUGAACCUUAGCUUCAAAUUAUUUGAAUCAUCGGCAGAAAGUAUGGUUUGUGUUUUUUAAUCACCUCCUUUGUAAGUUCAAAAAAUUGAGGAGGCAUGAUUUUCAACUUGAGCUGUUUCAGUUACCGGCAUUGGUGGAAAACUGUGCAAGUCAGUGAUCCUAAGAAAUAAGGAGGAUUACAAUACUGGAUUUGUAUAGUGAGGAGUCGUAUUUACCUCUAUAUAAUUCAAAAGACAUGAAUAUGUAAUGUUGAAAGCACAUUUAUCCAUAUAGGUUUGGAGAUUGAUGGAAAAUUCCAUUACCGAUAACAUUGGACCAUCUGUUGAAUUUUGGUGGAGGAUUGUUAAUGUAACAGAGGAAACUUGUUAUUAAAUUUCAUGUUGAAGUUGUAGGAAUUGAAUGAAAUUUCAUGAGCAUUCAAACAGAAUAUGAGGAAACCUUUGUGAGAACUGAGAAUUGAUCAAAUGUCUCAAAUGUUUAAAAGGGGAGGGGCGGACCUAAGUUAUGGAAUCAUUGUUUAAAGGAUUGGACUGGUCGGUUGUGGUUGAGGAUAUAGCCCUUAAUAGGAACACUUGCUGAAGGACACAUAAAAUCAAAUCCUCAUUUGGGGUAAAGCUUAUUGUUGGAUGAACUUACUAUCCUUGGUUGAUUUCUUGUUGGAGUCUCUAAAUUAAGAAUUUUCCUUUAUAUCUGGUUUCGGUUGGUCUUUGUGUUUGUUAUGGUUUCUAUCUUGGUUUCAGGCAUUCGUAGCUUUGUUUAUACUUAUCUUUUUGUUGGAUAAUAUUUCUUCGAAAUAAGUUGGUUUUUAACUUAUUAUGUAAAUAAGUCAAAGUAUGUUAAAGGUCAAUACUGAAGGAAGCAGAACCUUAAGCAACUUUUAGAUACCAAAGAACAAUACAAAUGAAUAGGAAACUAUUUUAAGGAGAGGAUAUGAGUCAAAAAUUACCCCUAUCAAUAUUUUUUCUUAAUGAGAAGUACCACUUUGGAUGGAUGGAAUUGAAUGGAACUGGAUAAUUGUAUCUAGAAAGAAUCGCAUAAUGUUAACACCUUGUUCCAGCACAGCUAUCCCUCUAUCCACAAUAAACAUCUGAAAAGAUCUAUACAUGAUGGUCGACUCCAAAUUUUGCACUCCAUCCUUCAGCUACCUACAAUAGACAUCACUCAGCAUGCAUUUAUGAUUUCUGCCAUCCUUUUAUCCAAUAUUAACCUUACUCUAUCAAUCAAAUAGAAGAGGAGUCCUUGCACCUACUUUGUUUCCUCAUGUCUCGAGUUCUUUCCAAAAAACAACUGCCUGCACACCAUAUCCCUGCCAUCCAAUAGUUCACGAUUUUAGUAUCUGGCUGACAUGCAAUUUCCAGAAAUAUGCAUAAGCAAUUAUUCAACUGUCUCUGAAUUUUUUGUAGUAGUGACCUUGCCCAUUAUAAAGUUGACACCAUUCCCUUUUCCCUUUUGCCUCAUAAAUCAUUUUCUCCAAACUGCAGAUGUAUCAUAAUUGCUUUUAACAUUCUGACAUUUACCCCUUCCGCCUCUACAAUCACAUUUCAGCUUUUCCGCAUACUUUGUCAUUGUAGAUAAUCUUUGCAACUAUUUUACUGAAAUGCUUUAUCAUCCUGUAUGAUUCUUAAGUUCUUUUUCCUCUCUCCCUGCUUUAGUUAAACAUCAUGCCAUCUAACCUCAUGAUUGCUCCAAUUUCUUAUUAUUUUUUGAGUUUUCCAGGGAAAGCUGGCUGAGAUCCUCGUUAACAGGUUAUUCUCCCUUGACUUGCAUCCGUGAUAAAAGGGAAACAUUUAUAUCAGCCACAUUUAAACAGUUCUACAUUUCUGUGAGUAAACACAGAAAUAUCAAAUACAAUGUAGAAUUAGUUUAACAUGAUUUACUGCCAACGAAUUGAAUCCGUGGCUGACUCCCUACCAAAAUAUGCUAGCCAAUCUUUAACUUGUUUGGCUUCUCUGUUGACAUGCUCCACCUUGUUGUCCUUAAACUGUAGCAGCAAAUGGUUGAUGUCUUCUUUAACUGGAUUUUAAUGAGCUGAGCAGCUGUUGGACCUCACCCACUCAAGGUAUAUCAAUAAGAUCUUGAAUCUUCAUCAGUAGCUAAAGAUCAUUACUUCAGGAUGAUCUGCAUAUUUCUGAUCGACAUUUAAAUCUACAUAAUCCAGGCCUGAAAAAUGGGUUGGAUAUCAAUAAUAUUAAUAUAUGUAUCCAAUUUUAUUUGGCGAAUAUGAAUAUAGAUGCAGAGACUAAUUGGAUGCUAAACUUUGUAUUGAUAUUUGUUCUAAUGGAUGUUAAUAUGAUUGGGUAUUGACAGUACGGAUACAAAUGCAGGCAUAGUUGGAUAGUUAAACUCAAUGUAUAGAAUGUUAUUUGACUUUAUUUUUUGUUAACUCAAAAUAGGUACCUGAGCUUCCUAACUUCUAUUAUUAUUCUAAAACCAAAAUGAUCUGACAUAAGACCAAAAAAGAAGUAACUGCAUCCACUCAAUCACCUUUUUCUUUUGGUGGAUCCUAAUAUUCUGUUGAGUUACACACUUUGGAUUCAAAUACUGACCGUUAAGGAUGCAAUACACUAAUGCAUAGACAUAGCUAUUUGGGAAAAAGAAGUUUAAACAAUAGACAUGUUGAUGUUAUUACUUAUUCCUUUUGGAGUUCAUGAGAACUAUUUGAGGAGACUAAACAAGGAUGCAAACAAUUAUCAUGAGAGAUAGCAACUAGGAUAGGACAUUUGGAUACGGAUCAGAAAUUCAUGUAUCGAUAUUUGUAUCCAUUUUCUUUGACAAAUACAAAUAUAGAUCUGGAUAUUAGUCAGAUGUAAAAUUUGUGUCCAAAUCUGGAUAAAUUUAGAUAUGGAAAUAGAUCUGGAUGGAUAUUAUGUGAUCCAUUUUGCCUUAACAGGAUCACAAUCUCAUUUUUCAUGAUACAUUCUGCACUUCUAUGAAUACUAUUCGUACGAAUUUUGAAAAGAACAAGGGUAAAUCGGAUCUGUUAUUGUCGAGAUUGUGGCCAAAUACCUCUAGACUGUGGUUAGUGUCUAGAAUUGCAAAAGAUUAGUGAGAGUUCUUUUGAUGUAUGUUGUAGCUUUAUUGAGGUGAUGGAUUAUACCUUAUAUUGGCUAGUUUUAUCUUGAAUCCUGGAGUUGAUUUCUCUUGCCAAUGGUACUAUUUUGGCACAUUUUGGACAACUUGUAUGUUCUACUUUGAAAAUGCUGCAAAUUCCGCCCGCCAAUCUAGAAGAAGAGUGAAAGAAUUCCUAUUUCAAUGCCUUUUCUUGCUAUAUAUUGUUUGAGGUCAGUCCUAUGGCAUAAGAAAUUCCAGCAGCCUGGAUCUAGAUGUUGUGGGGACCGGUAAAAGAAUGGAAACCUAGUAAUAUAUGAUUGAUGGUAGUGAGUUGUACUUAAAAAUGCACAUUUUUGUCAUCAAGUUGGAUGUCCAUGAGCCAGUAUUUAUGAAUAAUGACAGAAGUUUGCCAUUAAUGCUACAGGAUUUUGAUAAUCUUGCAUUAUUUGGCAGCUUUAGGUAUGCAGCGUUGUGCCAAAAGACUUGCAUAAAUGUAAUUAAAUCGGAAUAGAUGAUUAUGUUCGUUUUGGGGGUUUGGAGAUUUUUUAAACAAAUUUUGAUUCCUUCACACUCUAGACAAAUUGAGGAUGAAUUUGUUUUCCAAGUUUGUCUGCUUAAGAAAAAAAAAAAUUUAGGUACUAGGAUUUCUGGGGACGUGGAAUUUUAGCUGAUUUUUUCCCUCUCAGAAAGAGGUGAUACCGUGACAGUGUAAUCUGGUCAAUCAGAAUUUUUUUAAUAAUUUAUUUUUUCUUUGAACUGAGUAAUUCACAGUAAAACAACUCCUUUGCUGAAAUCUAUCUCAUCUUAGGAUUAUUGGUGGCUAAAUUAUU